UACGAAGGGGGCUAGCGUUGCUCGGAAUUACUGGGCGUAAAGGGCGCGUAGGCGGGUAUUUAAGUCAGAGGUUAAAUCCCAGGGCUCAACCCUGGAACUGCCUUUGAUACUGGAUACCUUGAGUACGGGAGAGGUGUGUGGAACUCCGAGUGUAGAGGUGAAAUUCGUAGAUAUUCGGAAGAACACCAGUGGCGAAGGCGACACACUGGCCCGUUACUGACGCUGAGGCGCGAAAGCGUGGGGAGCAAACAGG
rnacentral:rRNA from 1 species